rnacentral:rRNA from 1 species
AUUGAACGCUGGCGGCAGGCCUAACACAUGCAAGUCGAACGAGUGGCGGACGGGUGAGGAAUGCAUAGGAAUCUACUCUGUCGGGGGGGAUAACGUAGGGAAACUUACGCUAAUACCGCAUACGAUUGAAUGAACCAAUGUCGGAUGAGCUAGUUGGCGGGGUAAAGGCACACCAGGGUGACGAGCCGUAGCUGGUCUGGGAGGAUGAUCGGCCAAACUGGAGCUGAGACACGGUCCAGACGCCUACGGGAGGCGGCAGUGGGGAAUAUUGGACAAUGGGCGCAAGCCUGAUCCAGCCAUACCGCGUGGGUGAAGAAGGCCUUCGGGUUGUAAAGCCCUUUUGUUGGGAAAGCGGUACCCAAAGAAUAAGCACCGGCUAACUCCGUGCCAGCAGCCGCGGUAAUUC